CGGUAACUCCAUCAUUUCCCUCAGGCAGGGGUAACAUUGAGGAGUGUAUUCCACACCACUGUCCACAGUGUUCUUCUGGGGUAUGCUCCUGUCACCCAUAACGGUGGCUGGUUUGACACGGCACUCUUUACUGGCUGACUUCUCUUCUUUGUCUUCUUCCGACUCCCCACCCCAAACAAACUACUUGGCCUUGAAUCCUUAUCACGGAGUCUACUUGUGGAAGAAUGCAAACUAAGACAAGCACUGUUACUGCAUCAUACUCUACUGUUCCAUUAUUAUGACUACACAAUAAACACACUGGCAACAUGCUUCUGCACAUAUUUGCUCAUCAAAUCCUCCCAUGAACCCUAUGGAUUAAAUAUUCUUGUCUUUGUUUUGCAGAGAGGGAAAUAGGGAUACAUCAGAGAGGUAAAUCAAUUUGCCUAGUGCUGACCGGUGAAUCAGCUGGCGGCCUGGCCUGCUGCCCAGGGCACUUUCCUUUCCAACACCAGGACCCAUAAGGCUGUGCAUAUGUGGCACCAAGUGGAUAAGAGUGUGGAGACAGAGCUGGCAGGGAGGCCCAGGCUGUGAAGGGUGUCCUCAUGCCCUGAGAUAAUCUACACUUAGAGAAGAGCAUUCGGAUGAUCGGUCAUGGACGGCCACACACAUGUCCCUGGAGACUCAUGCCUUCACACAAAUGCCAGUGUGUGCACACUUGGACCCACAUGUGCAGAAACCUGUUAGUGGCAAUUUCAAUUUCCUAAUUAAAAACAAACAAGGUAGUCAUGUUCUAUCCAGCGUCCCACACUCGAGCUUAUGGAAUCCAAGGGCUUCCUCCGGUCAUCUGGCCCAGCCACCUGCAUCUGACCUGAACCAACAUGGAAUGGGGUCUUGUCAGCUAAGAAGCAGUGCUUAACCAGCCAUUGAGUGAGCUGUUAGGGACCCUGGAAUAAUUACAGCCUUCUCAAAUGAGAAGAUGAAGAGGGGUUUUUUAGUGUGUGUGUGUGUGUGUGUGUGUGUGUGUGUGUUUUGAUAGUUUGAGAUUUAAAAUUACAUAGUAGAACUAAUAGGCCCUUUCUGUCUCAUAAUUAUGUUUGUCUUGAUACAAACCCUUAAACGUUUGGCUGCUGGUCUUGGAUGAAACUCCCAGCCUCAGAUGGAAUUGUAACGCCAUGAUGAGCCAUUAUGCUGUGGCCAAGGGUAGUCCCUCUGCGACACUUGCUGCCUGGCAGUGCUGUUGUUCUCAGCAUGUACAACAAGGGCUCAUAUCAGAAGGAGGUUAUAUUUUCCAUGGAGCUGUCACAGGGGCCCAAGGACUAGGAGGCAGGAGCUACUGGCUCAGGAAUCCUUGGGAGUUAGAUGGGACCUGGGACUCUGUCAUUUCCCCCUUUGCUGGAAACACAGAGCUUUGAGAAUGCUACAGUCCAAGCAAGAGUGGCACUGGGCUGCCUUCAUCUAUAUGGAGAUUAUUCCUUCAACAGAGCAAUUGCAGAUAAUUGAACUUUAUAAAUUGUUCUAUCCCAAAGAAUAAUGAACAUUGAGACCAUUCCACCAGGAUGAUGAGUUUAGUCCUGGAAUAGAUGUCGUACAAGUCGGGUGGUGAACUGCACUGAACAUGCCUGGAGUGAUGUUAGGAAGACAGCAAGCUGAAAAUUAGCAUUCCAGAAGGGAUAAAGCCAUCUGCAUACAAUAUUAGAAGAUUUUAUGACAUUAUGUUUCUAGGUAGUUUGGACUCCCUGAGUUAGUUAAGAAACUUAAUUUUCUUUCCAUCACAAAUAUCUUAGGGAUCUUUUGGUUGCAAGUAAGAGAAAUCCAUGUGCUUAUUAAAGUAAAGGGAGAUGCUUUAUGAGUGAGGCAGGAUAACCUGGUAGAGAAAUUAGGUGUUUUUUCCUUCCUUCUCUCAAAAGGCUGGCAAAAGACUAGCUCCUUAUUUUGGAGGACUGAUGUAGUCUUUGCUUUGAGGGAGAAGAGAAUUUUUAAAAGUCAACUUUAAAUAUCAGUUUCAUACUCUAAAAUGUAUCAGUUCAAAAACUGUAAUUUGAUGUGCUUUGACAAAGAUGUAACCACCACCACGAUCCUGAAAGAGAACAUUUCAUCACCCCCAUGAGCCCCUUUGAGCCAGUCCCCUCCCAACACCUGGGCCGCUGGUAUCACUGAUCUGCUUUCUGUCACUGUUUUGCUUUGUGAAGAUUUCAUAGAAAUGGACUCUACAGUGUCUGUUGGUGUCUGACUUCUUUCACUUUGCAUAAUACUUUUGAGAGCUGUUCAUGCUCUCACAUGUAUCAGUAGUUCUUCCUUUUUAUUGCUGAGUAGUAUUCUGUUGUAUAAGUACACCACAAUUUAUCUGUUCAGCAAUUGAUACAUAUUUGAGUUUCAUUUCUGAAUAAAGUACGUGCCUUUGUGUGAACUUAGGUUUCCUUAUCUCAUGGGUAAAUACCUCAAAGUAGAAUUUCUGGGCUGUAGAGUAAGUGCAUGUCCCAUUUUAUAAGAAACUAUAAAACUUUUACAAAGUGGCUGUACCAUUUUGCAUUGCUGCCAUCAUGUAUGACAGUUUCAGUUGUCCCACAUCCUUGACAACUCUUGGUAUUAAUCAGUCUUUAAUUUUAGCCAUUCUAGUGAGCAUG
rnacentral:lncRNA from 10 species